rnacentral:rRNA from 1 species
UUUUUCAAAAACAUCGUUUUUUGAUUAUAAUUUAAGAUUUAUUCUGCUCAAUGAAAAUUUAAAUAGCCGCAGUAUUUUAACUGUGCAAAGGUAGCAUAAUAAUUUGUUUAUUAAUUGUAAACUGGAAUGAAAGAAUAGAUAAAAUAUUUACUUUAUUAAUAUUAUAAAUAUAAAGUUAAUUUUUUAGUAAAAAAGCUAAAAUUUUUUAUUGGGACGAGAAGACCCUAUAGAAUUUUAUAUUAUAAUGAAUAUUUUAAAUUAAUAUAUUUUUAUAUAUUUAUUAUAUUAAUUUAUUGGGAGGAUAAUUAAAUUUUUAAACUUUAAUAUAAUUAACCAAAGAUAAAUGAAGAUUGGAUUUUAUAUAUAAAAUUUUAGAAAAAUUACCUUAGGGAUAACAGUGUAAUAUUUUUAGAAAGUUCUUAUUGAUAAAAAUGUUUAUGACCUCUUGAC